rnacentral:rRNA from 1 species
UGGGGAAUAUUGCACAAUGGGCGCAAGCCUGAUGCAGCCAUGCCGCGUGUGUGAAGAAGGCCUUCGGGUUGUAAAGCACUUUCAGCGGGGAGGAAGGCGUUAAGGUUAAUAACCUUGGCGAUGACGUUACCCGCAGAAGAAGCACCGGCUAACUCCGUGCCAGCAGCCGCGGUAAUACGGAGGGUGCAAGCGUUAAUCGGAAUUACUGGGCGUAAAGCGCACGCAGGCGGUCUGUCAAGUCGGAUGUGAAAUCCCCGGGCUCAACCUGGGAACUGCAUUCGAAACUGGCAGGCUAGAGUCUUGGAGAGGGGGGUAGAAUUCCAGGUGUAGCGGUGAAAUGCGUAGAGAUCUGGAGGAAUACCGGUGGCGAAGGCGGCCCCCUGGACAAAGACUGACGCUCAGGUGCGAAAGCGUGGGGAGCAAACAGG